AGAGUUUGAUCCUGGCUCAGAUUGAACGCUGGCGGCAUGCCUUACACAUGCAAGUCGAACGGUAACAGGUCUUCGGAUGCUGACGAGUGGCGAACGGGUGAGUAAUACAUCGGAACGUGCCUAGUAGUGGGGGAUAACUACUCGAAAGAGUAGCUAAUACCGCAUGAGAUCUACGGAUGAAAGCAGGGGAUCGCAAGACCUUGUGCUACUAGAGCGGCUGAUGGCAGAUUAGGUAGUUGGUGGGAUAAAAGCUUACCAAGCCGACGAUCUGUAGCUGGUCUGAGAGGACGAUCAGCCACACUGGGACUGAGACACGGCCCAGACUCCUACGGGAGGCAGCAGUGGGGAAUUUUGGACAAUGGGCGAAAGCCUGAUCCAGCAAUGCCGCGUGCAGGAUGAAGGCCUUCGGGUUGUAAACUGCUUUUGUACGGAACGAAAAGCUUUGGAUUAAUACCCUGGAGUCAUGACGGUACCGUAAGAAUAAGCACCGGCUAACUACGUGCCAGCAGCCGCGGUAAU
rnacentral:rRNA from 1 species